rnacentral:rRNA from 1 species
UACGUAGGGUGCAAGCGUUGUCCGGAAUUAUUGGGCGUAAAGAGCUCGUAGGCGGUUCGUCGCGUCGGCUGUGAAAACCCGGAGCUCAACUCCGGGCCUGCAGUCGAUACGGGCAAACUAGAGUGCGGUAGGGGAGAUUGGAAUUCCUGGUGUAGCGGUGGAAUGCGCAGAUAUCAGGAGGAACACCGAUGGCGAAGGCAGAUCUCUGGGCCGUAACUGACGCUGAGGAGCGAAAGCAUGGGGAGCGAACAGG